UUUAUGGAUAAAAUAUUUAUUUACAAAUUGGAAUAAAUACAAAAUUUCUUUCAUUUCAAAAAAUGAAGUCUUGAUUCCUAAUUACAUCAGUGACCAUGGUGACAGUGAGACAUCAGCUUACAAAGUUUAUAUCUAAUGACGUCAUCUUGUACACAUCAGUAAUUAAAGGGGUUGUUUGUUUACACAGGUAUUUUUGUCUGACACACUCAAUUCUAUACAAUCAUUUGUAGAUUAGUUUUCAUCCAAGACAUUUUAUGAUUUACUUCACUAAUAUUACUACAACAGGGGUUAAAAAAUCCACUAGCCCGAUGCCCGGGACUAGAGCAUUUACGCCUCGGGCAAUCAAAACUUUUAACACAAUAUGCCCGACGGACUAGUGACAAAAAAUUAUUGGCGUUUCCAAAAUAGAUAGUAGAAAACCCCUUCAUCCCUAUUCUAUCUUAGCCAAUCAGAUUCAAUUACGUCAUCCGGGAUUCAAAGUAUUUGAACUGGUUUGUACAGGUUUAGGGUUGCGUUCAAUAUCGUAGCCGCUACUUAGGGCUACGCAGAUUUAUGACUAUUGAACGUGUAGCUAGCCUAGCUGCUACAUAGAUAUUGUUAGCAGCUAGGCUAGCUACUCGUUCAGUAGACAAAAAUUUAUGUAGCACUACGUAGCCUCUACGAUAUUGAACACAACCCUGUUUUACAGUUACAUGUUUUAAAAAUAGAACAAAUAACUCAGGGUGGGCAGGUAUCAUCUAUUGAUCGCAAUAUUUUACACUUUCAAUAUCGAUUUCUCAGAACAGGGGGUAUUGUACAUUGCUUCGGUCGAGAUUUUCAAUUAACAGUACCGGUCAUUAUGUAUUGGUCUUGUCGGACAACUGUUGAACACGAAACAAUACAACAAAAUAUUUCAAAAUAUUUGAGAACGGGCAUCCCAUGAACUUCGUUAGUUUCAAAGCAAAAAUCGGAAGAUGAAGGGGGUACUAAUGAGGCUGAAAAUUCAUCCAGACAAAACCAGGUGCUCCGCAGGGCGCAGCUUUAUACGACCGCAGAGGUCGAACCCUGAACAGUUGGGGCAAGUAUGGACAAAACAUUCAAGCGUGAUACAGCUCUGAAUUUGGAUUGUGAUCAAAUUUUUGACAUUACAUGGGUUUUUUAUACACAAAACAAAUGUCAAGAUUUUACAAAUCAAUUAAAGAUUUCUUCUUCAAACUUUUUAAAUCUAAAAUUAAAUAGUUGACACAGCAUAGGUUUCUGACACAGAAUGAAUGUGGUCUAAUGAACUUAAAAGUUUUUUUUUGCCUUUGAGCAAUUCACUAUGCUGUUGAAUAUUAAUCCUCUCAAAAAAAUGUUU
rnacentral:lncRNA from 1 species